AGUCAACAUGCCCAGAGGACGUGGAUAACCUCGGGAAACUGAGGAUAAACCGCGAUAGGUCAUAAUAUCUGGAAUGAUUUAUGGUUUAAAUCUAUAUGGCCUCUGGAUUGGACUGCGGCCGAUCAGGCUGUUGGUGAGGUAAUGGCCCACCAAACCUAAAACCGGUACGGGCUCUGAGAGGAGAAGCCCGGAGAUGGGCACUGAGACAAGGGCCCAGGCCCUAUGGGGCGCAGCAGGCGCGAAAACUCCGCAAUAAGCGAAAGCUUGACAGGGUUAUUCUGAGUGAUUUCCGCUAAGGAAAUCUUUUGGCACCUCUAAAAAUGGUGCAGAAUAAGGGGUGGGCAAGCCUGGUGUCAGCCGCCGCGGUAAUACCAGCACCCCGAGUGGUCGGGACGAUUAUUGGGCCUAAAGCAUCCGUAGCCGGUUCUACAAGUCUUCCGUUAAAUCCACCUGCUUAACAGAUGGGCUGCGGAGGAUACUAUGGAGCUAGGAGGCGGGAGAGGCAAGCGGUACUUAGUGGGUAGGGGUAAAAUCCGUUGAUCCAUUGAAGACCACCAGUGGCGAAGGCGGCUUGCCAGAACGCACUCGACGGUGAGGGAUGAAAGCUGGGGGAGCAAACCGGAUUAGAUACCCGGGUAGUCCCAGCUGUAAACGAUGCAGACUCGGUGAUGAAUAGGCUUCGUGCCUAUUCAGUGCCGCAGGGAAGCCGUUAAGUCUGUCGCCUGGGGAGUACGGUCGCAAGACUGAAACUUAA
rnacentral:rRNA from 1 species